rnacentral:snRNA from 1 species
GUUGCUUCUCGCCAUUUUGGCUAAGACCAAAGUUUAGUUUCUGUUCUUAUCGAGUUAACCUUCGAUUGAGAUCUGAACGAAUCUCGUUAAGGUUAUUUGCUGGCUUGCCGGCAACCCGUC